rnacentral:rRNA from 1 species
GAUGAACGCUCGCUACAGGCUUAACACAUGCAAGUCGAGGGGAAACGACAUCGAAAGCUUGCUUUUGAUGGGCGUCGACCGGCGCACGGGUGAGUAACGCGUAUCCAACCUGCCCAUCACUUGGGGAUAACCUUGCGAAAGUAAGACUAAUACCCAAUGAUAUCUCUAGAAGACAUCUGAAAGAGAUUAAAGAUUUAUCGGUGAUGGAUGGGGAUGCGUCUGAUUAGCUUGUUGGCGGGGUAACGGCCCACCAAGGCAACGAUCAGUAGGGGUUCUGAGAGGAAGGUCCCCCACAUUGGAACUGAGACACGGUCCAAACUCCUACGGGAGGCAGCAGUGAGGAAUAUUGGUCAAUGGGCGAGAGCCUGAACCAGCCAAGUAGCGUGCAGGAAGACGGCGCUAUGGGUUGUAAACUGCUUUUAUAAGGGAAUAAAGUGAGAGUCGUGACUCUUUUUGUAUGUACCUUAUGAAUAAGGACCGGCUAAUUCCGUG